UACGUAGGGUGCAAGCGUUAAUCGGAAUUACUGGGCGUAAAGCGUGCGCAGGCGGCUUUGCAAGACAGAUGUGAAAUCCCCGGGCUUAACCUGGGAACUGCAUUUGUGACUGCAUUGCUGGAGUGCGGCAGAGGGGGAUGGAAUUCCGCGUGUAGCAGUGAAAUGCGUAGAUAUGCGGAGGAACACCGAUGGCGAAGGCAAUCCCCUGGGCCUGUACUGACGCUCAUGCACGAAAGCGUGGGGAGCAAACAGG
rnacentral:rRNA from 1 species